GGUAGACUCAAGUUCUGACUCUAGGGACAGAGAUCUGUUGAAGUAAGAUCUGACAUUUUGCCCUGAAAGUGUAAAGGAUUUUUUGAGAUUACAAAUGCUUUUACUUGGAAUGCUCUCAGCUUCCUCAGAACAGAUGGGUCUCGCCAAAAACAGAGCCAAAGCAGGCAGCCGGUGUAACUCAUCUCUUAAUACGCAGCCAGGUAACUUUUAAUUUUCCCUUCACUCACUAACUGACUGUAGAAGUUGGAGUGAUUAAGAGUAACUAAGUGAGGCUUAUCCAUUUUGUACUUUACAGACAAUAUUCUUUUGAAUACACGAACUACAUCAGGAGUCAGAGAAGCACAAGAAAUUCAGUGAAAGGGCUUUCAGAGAUGAAUUCACAAUUUCCUGCUCAGACUUGGUCCUUACCAGCUGGAAUUUGGGGUUCCAGGAGAAGGGCAGGUCCCCAGGAGCACAGAAAGGCAGAGCUUCUGCUGGCUGCCCGUUGCCUUUUCCACUACAAUCACAGUGAAAGACAAGCAACAUGCAGCAUCCAUCAGGAGAUGCCUCUCCCCAGGACAGCCCUGGAGCAACCAACAAACCCCUAUCGACCGCUGCCUAAACACAUAGCAGGUGAACAGAGCGCCUCUUGAGGAACAUGAGAAGGAUGCAGAUCUGACAGCGCAGACUUCACCAUCGCCUUGUCCUUUUUUAUUUUCCCCAUCUGCUCUUAUGCUGAAUAGUUCCUGUGUGACAUGGGGGUAAUGUUUCUGAGUGUGAUCUGGCAGCCUUGAAGAUUCAAAAUACAUCUCAAAUAAUUUUUCUCCAGGGUUAGUAUUCUUUAUUUUCCUUGUUGCUUUCAUGUGCUUUUCUUGGGAAUUUCAAAUGUUUUUGUGAAAAUAAUAA